UGUGCUAUGUGGGGAGCUAGCGGUGCCCUGUAACUCGCAAUCCGCUAUAGCGAGACAGAACGCAUAUCGAGGUUAUAUAAAUAGGAGGCUGACGGCCGUAAGCGGCGUUGAUCUCGGUGUCUUGUGCAACAGUUCGCUGUGAACCGUGUCAGGGCUUGACCGCAGCAGCACUAAGCAGAAUGAGCCGUGUGCCACGAGGAAGCUUCGAGGGAGUUGGCUGCGGUUGUACCGCUCGUGUUUGUAUAAUCGGAAUAUGUGCAC
rnacentral:SRP_RNA from 1 species